AGACGGCGCCCGCUUCGCGUUCUCGUUUCGACACGCUGCCUUCGCCAUUGUCGCUCGAAAGGAAAGCUUCGUUUCCAUGACACUGAAGUCGCGGGCUCGACUAUGGGUCUAACUACAUGUACCAAUAUUUGAGCGUACCAAGCUUUCACUACAAUUACGGAAAAUUGGCCAGUUAUAAGAGUUGAUCUCGAGUGCGAAAGAGAGCUGCAGAUCGCACUACCUGAGGUACCAGACUCUAUUUGCCUGAGGUGCUCAUCCACCCCCCAGUACCAAGGCUUCCAAAGUGAUCGAUAGCCUCAGGAGAAAAGCAAGGUAAUCGGACACAAACCGCGGCUGAGGUACCGAAAGAGGUUAGGAAGAGGGAUCAGGAAUGCGUCACUCACCUUUUCAAGCUCGAGGAGGUGAAACCGGAGGACUUGAAUCGCUUGAACCAUCUGAAACACAAGAGAGCAGAGAAAUAAGAUAAAUUCGCCGUGAUGAUGCUGCGACGAGAGAGGACGAAGUCACUGGCGAGGAGUCGAGUAGGAAAUGACGACGUGAAGAAGGAACUAGGAAUUGAGAAGUCAUAAGAGGGAACGAGGAACACGAACCAGACACGACGCACACUUCUGCCCUGCAGCAAUGUCUACUGCCCGACAGACGCGAAUUCGGCUUUUUCAUAUAUACGCACUUACGUAUAGCUCAUUCAUUUAUUCUCAUAUUUAUCCGUCGACCCGAUUGGCGCGGAUUAACAGGAAUUAAUUGCAUUUGCAUUCGCUAAUUGCAUAUCUCGAAUCUCGCGCUUGGAAUGUCAUCCCUUGCUUCAUUCAAGUAUGCAUACCUAUUAUGGACAUAAAGAAAUCCCAAGGUGUAGAUACGGUGCGUGAUUUUUAAUUUCAAUAAUAACGACCAGCGCUAUUUUCAACGAGGAAUCGUACAUUCUUACUGAUUACACGUAUCGAUACGAAAUUCUGCAAGGUGAAAACGA